UGGGUUAUACAUUUAGUAUACACUGUUGACCGGAAACGCAGAAAAAGUGGUUGGGCGGUCACUUUGUAAAAAAGAUAAGGCAGUGGUCGGCGUGAAUGGGCUGCUUGUGGGGCCUACUAGGAGCCUGAUGCCCGUUUACACAGACACAGAAGCAGACGCUCCUCUGUCUGAAUUCCCAGUGAGAAAAGCAUUGUCACAUAAAG
rnacentral:lncRNA from 1 species